rnacentral:rRNA from 1 species
GACGAACGCUGGCGGCGUGCUUAACACAUGCAAGUCGAACGGAAAGGCCCUGCUUUUGUGGGGUGCUCGAGUGGCGAACGGGUGAGUAACACGUGAGUAACCUGCCCUUGACUUUGGGAUAACUUCAGGAAACUGGGGCUAAUACCGGAUAGGAGCUCCUGCUGCAUGGUGGGGGUUGGAAAGUUUCGGCGGUUGGGGAUGGACUCGCGGCUUAUCAGCUUGUUGGUGGGGUAGUGGCUUACCAAGGCUUUGACGGGUAGCCGGCCUGAGAGGGUGACCGGCCACAUUGGGACUGUGAUACGGCCCAGACUCCGACGGGAGGCAGCAGUGGGGAAUAUUGCACAAUGGGCGGAAGCCGGAUGCAGCAACGCCGCGUGCGGGAUGACGGCCUUCGGGUUGUAAACCGCUUUCGCCUGUGACGAAGCGUGAGUGACGGUAAUGGGUAAAGAAGCACCGGCUAACUACGUG